AGUGGACUGCAUAAAGAAAAUGUGGUACAUAGACACCAUGGAAUACUACGCAGCCAUAAAAAAGAAUCAGUUCGUGUUCUUUGCAGUCACAUGGAUGCAGCUGGAGGCCAUUAUUCUAAGAGAGGGCCUUUCCCAGCUCACCAGGAAGACUUUACUGAGCACCUACUGCCUGCCGGGAACUGGCCUCCACACUGAAAACACCAGGGGGUCUCCGCCCAUGGGAGUUGACAGAAGAGCAGAUCCCAACAGUCAGAGGCUGCCACAUUCUCCCUGCUGGGCUGUUUGUAGGCUGAUGUGUUUAUCCUCCUGAAAGACAAUGGGAGACAGCAAAGGGACUGGGCUUCACCGCAGGGCCUGGGCCAUCUUGUGCUUGGCACAUGCUUGUUGAAGGAAGGAAGGAGCCUCUUUCUCUCUCUGUCUCUGUCUCUCUCUCUCUCUGUCUGUCUCUCACAUGCACACGCCGACACACACUUUCCAAGCUCUGUGUGGUCUCGCUCCGUUGUAAUUUGUUUAAGUGGCUCCAACCAGCGACAUGUAAGAGAUCCAGGACUGCACAGGGCAGUGCAGACGUCACCAGCAAUGGCUGAGGCUCCUGAGCGUGCCUCCUGUGCCUGGCGUCCUGGGGAUAUUCCCACAUGUGCCUCCUGUGCCUGGCCUCCUGGUGAUGUUCCCGUUGGUGUUGGUCCCGCUGAGCCCCCACAGCCUCCCUGUGCCACAGCCAUCCACGUUACCUCCAUUGCAUUUCAGGAAAUGGAGGCUCAUGCAGGUUUGGUAACAUGUCCAGGUUUCCAAACUGGAAGGUGCCUGCUGGAGUGGGGACCUGGGAAACCUCCUGUCCCCGUCACUGUAUGACCACCAGCUGGUCAGCAGGCAGCUUCCCUGAACAGGAGGCUGGGUGUGCCUGACCCCAUGGCGGGGGCGAUGCCCACACCUGUGGGACUGAUCGAGACCCACGGCUGUGAUGACUGUGGGUAUGUGUGUUACUUCCCAAAAGAUUUCCCCAUUUGUUAUAUUUCCUCAAAGGCAAAAUAACACACUGUUUUACUGAGGAAAAUCCAUCUUGCUAAUGACUGAAACCUGCUAGAAGUGGAGUAGGGUGGUGGUGUUUUUCUGUUGUGAAGGGCUUGGCAGGGCGUGGCUGUUUAUGCACCUGUGUUUCCAGACAGCGUUCAUUUCCACCCGCUGGGAUGUUGGGCCUCCAGGCUGUGUUCGCAGCUACGCGUUGACAUCCUCGCAGCUGCCUGAUGGAUAGAGACUAUUCAGCAUGAACUUGAAAAGACAUUUGUUCUGGGGAAAAUUCUUGUUGACUUGGCCACAGCACUUCCACUCCCCCACUACCCCACCCCCCACAGAAAUUCCUUCCCUGCCCCUCUUCUUCCUGAUUAUUGGAUUCAUUUUCCUAGGAGGUAAAAUCGUGAAAUGAACUCAACAUUUUCAAAUCCCAGUAAAGAAAUCAACCAAGAGGCGAGAGGACAAGAUGCUUGGGCUAAAUAAAACGUGACCUUUCUGGCGCCUCUGAGUUUGACUUCCAGGUCAGAGCUCUGCAAAUGCACCAUUGAAAGUGUAAUGAUUUGGAAUCCACCAAAGACAAUUUUCCUACAGCAAAUGUAGUUUUCUUUUGAAAGGAUCCAUUUACACUCAUGCUGGCGUUCGCUGGUGUUUUUGGUCUUGCUCCAUCGAGCUUCUGAAACCUGUGGUGCCGUUGGCCAAGCCGCUGGAAAUGCACACACGUCCAGAGAUGUUGGAAAUGCACGCACGUCCAGAGAUGUCCUGAAGGAAAAUGCUCACAGGUGAUCUUCAAUGCAGGUGUGGCUGUGCGGUGCUGAGUCCGACUUCCACAACUGCUCCAUUGAUUCCGUCCUUUGUGUUGUCAAACUUCUUAGUAUUUGCCAAUCACAUGUAUCCUUGAGUGUGUUUAUGGUUGUGAAACACUGUAUUGCUAGCAUCAUCCAUCAUCCAACCAGGCCUUUUUUAGCCAAUCCUGGAGAAAUUGCCUCCAAUUUUCUUGUCCCUAUGCUACUCAGCCCUCUUAUUUCAUUCCAGUUGGUGCAUAAAGUUACCUAUUUGUCCAAAAUUUUAUUUUUUACAGACCAUAAUGACUUGAGAAUUAAAAUUUGCUCACCCAAAUACAGCCAUUGUUAUUCCGUCACUGGGGAUGUAAUAUUUCAGCCCCCAGUUUUCUCCUCAGAGAACUGAAUAAUCGCAUCCAUGGUUUACUUUUAAUAAACCGAGUCCCAGAGCUCAUUACACCCUUGGCUUGAGGGACGGACGCUUGUGAGCAUAACACAUGGCAGGCAUGUCAUUAGCCAAGUUGUAUUUUUACUUUUCGCUGUGGAAGUAAUAACCAACAAGGAAAAAGUUAUCUUAUUAUAACCUUAUAACCAAUUUUUGAGAUUUCAUUUUGUGUUUUAUAAUGUAUCAUGCCAUGUAAUCGUGGUGUUUUAAAUUUUCAAGUGUUAUGCCUCUGGUUCACAAUACUUUUUAAACAAUUAUCCCUGAUAUCAUUCUAAUAACUCCUCAGAAUUGUCUUUGUUUGCUAUGAUGUUCCCUAGUUGUAUUUGAUUGAAAACAAAUACUUUGAAAUCCAAGUACUUUACCAGAGAAAGGUCCUGAUCUAUUUAUUUCUUCUCCUGACUCUAGCUACAAUCAAAUUGUAGAUAGGUAGGGAAAUUGUUUUUAAGUAACAUGAAAUAAACGAUCAUUUAACACCA